rnacentral:rRNA from 1 species
GCUCCAAUAGCGUAUAUUAAUGUUGUUGCAGUUAAAAAGCUCGUAGUCGGAUUUCAGGCAAGGGUUGAGUGGUCUGCCUUCGGGUGUGCACUGCUCGCGCUUGUCUUUUUUUGGGAUAGCGGCGUCUCCUUUCAUUAGGCGGGGCGUUCGUUACUCAUCAUUUACCUUGAAAAAUUAGAGUGUUCAAGCAGGCGUUUGCU